GAGUUGAAAAACCAGCGAGACCGUCAACCGCUGCUUCCUGUUAAUGCUUUCCUGUUCUACAACAGCUGAGUGCUCUGUGAAACCGUAUUGGAUGUUCGAAGUUUUGUUUUAUGGUCUCCGCUAGUGUGUGGGAAUAGAAAAUUACAAGAAUAAUACCAAGAGAUUAAUACUGAUAUGACAGCAUAAAGAGCUGACCCACCCUAAGUGAAACUAUUGAAAAUUAUGGCCCUAAAGGCAAAUAGCAAAUAAACAUCAAUCUAAAAAAAAUUAUAUGAAAAUUUUUCCAUGAAAAAGUCCUGGACUGUGGUACCAAGUCUGUCUGCAUGAAUCAAUACUGUCCUUCCCCCUCUCAUUUUGCAAGACAGAUUCGAGACUGCUGCAACCCAAACCACAAAGCUUCCCAGUAACACUCAUCAGAGGAACAGGAUGUCAGCAUUCUUAUUCCUUUUCUUUUCCUAGGCACAUGAUGCUGAGGCUAAAUCAUGGGUUAGACUAAGUGUGGAUUAGAGAUAAGGGAUUCCCUUCCAUCCAGCUGCAAUUCAUGGAACAGAUGCUCCACCUUGGGCUGGAGUGCUAAGAUAUUGGAAUUCUGAUUACCUUUAACCCAGCUCCUCAAAUGGUACUCACAUGAAGAGAGAAGCUGGGAGGACUUCAGCCUGCUUCCCUUUGUCCACCUAAGCUCUUGGACCACAAACAUGACUCUAAGAGAAGCUUGCUAUUUUCUAACCCCAGAUCCAGGGACUUGAUUCAAAGAUUGUGCUUGGGGGUUAAGCAAUCCAUAAAACAGCCCUUUAUCUCUUCCCUAAAGAAUGACUUCAUUUGCAUCAGAACAUGGAAAAGUUCAAGCCAAAAAGUGAUCUAGCAGAGAUUAUGAUAAUAGAUAAUUGGGAAGAGAUUCAAGAUAUAGUAGGCUCUCUAUUCACUAGUUAAGUGUCCAUGGAUUCAACCAACCUCAUACCAAAAUGAAAAAGAAAUUGUGUUUUUACUGAACAUGUUCAGGCUCCCUGCCCUUAUCAUAAUUCCCUAAAAAUACAGUAUAACAGUCAUUUAUGUAGCAUUUACAUUAUAUUAGGUAUUAUAGGUAAUCCAGAGAUUAUUUUAAAUAUACCAAAAGAUGUGUGUAGUUUAUAUGCAAAUACUAACCAUCUCAUAGUAGGAAUUUGAGCAUCCAAGGAUUUUGAUACAUGCAGGGGGUUCUGAAACCAAUGGAUGUAGAGAAAACUUGUAGGCCAGCUAGCUUUCAGGAAAGAACAAAUUAAGAUAGCUGAGAAGAGCUCUCCUAGAGUAAGAACAAAUAUUACACAAUGACCUUGUAAACUAUUCCUUCAAAGGGGUUAAAUUUCAAUUGGAUUUGUCUAUGGAGCAAUUUAUUUUGAGUACCUUUGGAAAUAAUAAAACAAUCAGCUGGAAAUUAA